rnacentral:sRNA from 1 species
AGAAGAAUUAUUUUUGUUCGGUAAAGAUUGAUAAGUUAAAUAACUUUCGUCUGUAGAUUUGGGCAAGGAUAGUAACACAAUGUGUGCGUGUCACACUAGGAGGCAACAAUUAUGGAACAAGGUAAAGUAAAAUGGUUUAACGCAGAAAAAGGUUUUGGAUUCAUCGAACGCGAAAACGGAGACGAUGUAUUUGUACAUUUCUCAGCAAUCCAAAGCGAAGGCUUCAAAUCUUUAGACGAAGGUCAAGCAGUUACAUUUGACGUAGAACAAGGUCAACGCGGCCCUCAAGCUUCUAACGUUCAAAAAGCUUAAUCCAUCAUAAAUAUAAAAAGACAGACUCCAUGGAGUCUGUCUUUUUC